rnacentral:rRNA from 1 species
UGGGGAAUAUUGGACAAUGGGCGCAAGCCUGAUCCAGCCAUGCCGCGUGAGUGAUGAAGGCCCUAGGGUUGUAAAGCUCUUUCACCGGUGAAGAUAAUUACGGUAACCGGAGAAGAAGCCCCGGCUAACUUCGUGCCAGCAGCCGCGGUAAUACGAAGGGGGCUAGCGUUGUUCGGAUUUACUGGGCGUAAAGCGCACGUAGGCGGACUUUUAAGUCAGGGGUGAAAUCCCGGGGCUCAACCCCGGAACUGCCUUUGAUACUGGAAGUCUUGAGUAUGGUAGAGGUGAGUGGAAUUCCGAGUGUAGAGGUGAAAUUCGUAGAUAUUCGGAGGAACACCAGUGGCGAAGGCGGCUCACUGGACCAUUACUGACGCUGAGGUGCGAAAGCGUGGGGAGCAAACAGG